rnacentral:rRNA from 1 species
UAAUACGAAGGGAGCAAGCGUUGUCCGGAAUCAUUGGGCGUAAAGAGCGCGUAGGCGGCCCUGUAAGUCCGCUCUGAAAGUCAAAGGCUCAACCUUUGAAAGCGGGUGGAUACUGCAGGGCUAGAGUCCGGAAGAGGCGAGUGGAAUUCCUGGUGUAGCGGUGGAAUGCGCAGAUAUCAGGAGGAACACCAACG